UUUUAUCCCAUUUUAUUCCCAUUUUUAUUCCCAAUUUCCCCCUGGAUUUCCAUCCCCAUUUUCCUGUUUUAUCCCAUUUUAUUCCCAUUUUUAUUCCCAAUUUCCCCCUGGAUUUCCAUCCCCAUUUUCCUGUUUUAUCCCAUUUUAUUCCCAUUUUUAUCCCCAAUUUUCCCCCUGUAUUUCCAUCCCAUUUUUCCUCUUUUAUCCCAUUUUUAUUCCCAAUUUUCCCCUGUAUUUCCAUCCCCAUUUUCCUGUUUUAUCCCAUUUUUAUCCCAUUUUAUUCCCAUUUUUAUUCCCAAUUUUCCCCCAAUUUUUCCAAUUUCACUCCCAUUUUUUUCCCCAAUAUUCCCCUAUUUAUUCCCAAUUUUCCCCUCUAUUUCCAGCCCCAUUUUCCUGUUUUAUCCGAUUUUUAUUCCCAUUUUUUCCCCAAUUUUCCCCUCUAUUUCCAUCCCCAUUUUUCCUGUUUUAUCCCAUUUUUCUCCCAUUUUUCUCCCAUUUUUAUUCCCAAUUUUCCCCAAUUUCCCGGUUUUUAUUCCCAUUUUUAUUCCCAUUUUCCCCCUGUGUUUUCAUUCCUCUUUUCCCCAAUUUCCCUGUAUUUAUUCUGAUUUUCAUUCCCCUUUUAUUCCCAAUUUUCCCCCUGUAUUUCCAUCCCCAUUUUUCCUGUUUUAUCCCAUUUUUAUCCCAUUUUUCUCCCAUUUAUCUCCCAUUUUUAUUCCCAAUUUUCCCCAAUUUCCCAGUUUUUAUUCCCAUUUUUAUUCCCAAUUUUCCUCUGUAUUUCCAUCCCCAUGUUUCCUGUUUUAUCCUGUUUUUAUUCUGAUUUUUAUUCCCAUUUUAUUCCCAUUUUCCCCCCUGUAUUUCCAUCCCCUUUUUUCCUGUUUUAUCCCAUUUUUAUUCCCAUUUUAAUUCCAAAUUUUCCCAAUUUUGUUCCCAUUUUCAUUCCCAUUUUCUCCCCAAUAUUCCCAUUUUUAUUCCCAAUUUUCCCCUGUGUUUUCAUUCCCCUUUUCCCCAAUUUCCCAGUUUUUAUUCCCAUUUUUAUUCCCCAUUUUCCUCUGUAUUUCCAUCCCCAUUUUUCCUGUUUUAUCCCAUUUUUAUUCCCAAUUUUCCCAUUUUUAUUCCCAUUUUUAUUCCAAAUUUUCCUGAUUUCUCUCCCAUUUUAAUUCCCAUUUUUCCCCUGUGUUUUCAUUCCCCUUUUCCCCAAUUUUCCCGUUUUUAUUACCAUUUUAUUCCCAUUUUCAUUCCCAUUUUUUCCCCAAUAUUCCCAUUUUAAUUCCCAUUUUCCCCCACAGUUUUCAUUCCCCUUUUCCCCAGUUUCCCGGUUUUUAUUCCCAUUUUUCCCCCAGUUUUCCCAAUUUCAUUCCCAUUUUUUUCCCCAAUUUUCCCCCUGUAUUUCCAUCCCCAUUUUUCCUGUUUUAUCCCAUUUUUAUCCCAUUUUAUUCCCAUUUUUAUUCCCAUUUUUCCCCUGUAUUUCCAUCCCCAUUUUCCUGUUUUAUCCCAUUUUUAUCCCAUUUUAUUCCCAUUUUUAUUC
rnacentral:lncRNA from 1 species